GGUCUGAUGGUCUAGUGGUAGGAUUCUCGCUUUGGGUAGAACGGGCUAACAACCUGCUCAACAAUGCGAGAGGUCCCGGGUUCAAUCCCCGGUCAGACCC